CUCAACUGGACCUUGUUUUAAGCAAACUCAAAUCUUAAAUUCAGAUCUAGUAAAGUAAACUGUUUAUUAUAUGCUGGUUAUCUCUUUUACACCUGAAAGGGUUCAGGUGACGGUAAGACCUAAAUAUCCUCCACACCUGGAGGGAUCAAACACUGAGGUGAUGUGGAUAGAGCUAAAAAAAAUUGCUGCAAUACCUCUAAUGGGAUUGUACUAAAGGUGUCCCAAUAAGCGAGUUUAGUAUCUUGAUAAACGCAAGGAAUCAUAGGAUUUGUAAAAGGUAAUUUGGGAUUUAAAAAAAUGCGAACGCAGUGCUGUAUAAACUGUGUAUGAAUUGUUAACUUUUAUACCAAGGAAUUAAUCUAUAAUUCUGUCAACUCAAUUGCUUCCUUUCUUGUUCUGCUGUUCACACACUACUUACACAGUCCCAUUUCUACUUCAGUUCAUUAAUCUACAAUUAUGAAAUAUUCAAAAAGUUCAAGAAUUUAUUAUUUUCAUUUAAUCCUUAAUGUGUUUGCUACUGGAAUAA